GGUCAAGCCACCGGUAUACCCCGAUUCCCGUGCUCUUUUCUCAAGUUGAUAUCUCCCAAGGUCUGAGACUCCAAGCUCUCUUUUCACAAGAGGAUGGGGGUGCUCACCUGAAGAAAGGAAUCGGGCGGGGGGGGAGGGGGACUGUUCUGGACUGAGAGAACCUUGCGCACAUCGGUUCCCCAGCCCAUUCCUGAUGUUAGCUCCUGCUGAUAUGAGCCUGUCCAAAAAGAAGACUGGAAGUGAUGACCCAGCUAAGCCGCUAGCCUUAGGGAGCAUAUGUCCAGGUUGAGGCAACAGGAUGACAAUGAGGAUGACACCACCACCACCACCACCACCACCACCACCACCACCACCACCACCACCACCACCACGCCCAUCCUAACAAAACUUCACCCUUACGACCUCAAUGCGUGUUUGGACACAUCUUUAUGUACACAUGAAGUAGACGCCCAGCAGGGGGGUGGGUGUGCUCACCUCUGACGUCCUCCCACCCAAGGGACCCUUUCAAAAAGGUUGGCUUCUCGGUAUGCUCUCAUAAGCAUGUUCGCCUGCGGGCUCAAUGAUUUGGUGAGUGACCUCAAACCCAGACGCCUGCAGAGUCUGCACAGUCAGCAUUGGGCAUACCCUCGGGCAAUAUUGUGCCAGUGCUCAGAGCCCCAGACCUCUGCCUGCUGGCAGAAGAAGCCCCAAGACCUCCACUCCAAAUGAAGUGACUGACAGCGAGGACCCAACUCACACUUUCAGAAGUGUCCUCGGCUCAGAAUCAUUUGCUGACGAGUCCGCCAGGCGGGUGGGGAGGGGGUGUGUACACCCAGGCAAGAAGUCCUCCACACCCUCAUUCUCGGACAACGCCAUCCAUCUCUCACAGACACUCCACAGCAGAGGCCCAGAGGGAAGGCCUAGCAUAGUGGCUCUUGUUCCUGCGUGGACUCCAGCACACAAGACAUUUUCCUCCAGUCUUGCUGAUUAAGGCCCCCAGUCGUGCGUGCCCAGCGCGAACGGAGAGAGAGGCAGCCUGUUUUUUUUUUACCCUGUUUCCGCUGAAAUGGUCCUCGGUGAAAUGGCCUAGGCUAGGACCAAGAAAAGUCGACACAACUUUGAAGUUUGGAAAACAAAACAACGAACCGCACUGCCCACUGUGGCUCUGGACUUUUGCGUGUUCCUCCUGUGAGGGCUCCAGCGUCUCGCACUUUCCCUGCAGUGAUUUGUGAAGACCCAUUUUCCCCCAUUAGGUCCUAUUAUCUCACUUUUCAGGUGAGAAACCGAUUCCUAGCUGGAAGGCGGUAGGCAGGAGCGCAAAUUUCAAGCUUGGCGUACCCUUCUCUAGUCAGUUCUGCAAUGUUCUGAGUUCCACCCGAGGCUCUUCCUCGGUGGUGCUCGGGAUGAUGCUCCGCUUCUUAGGGGAAAGGGCACUGGGCUUACUCUUAAGCAGGAGGUGGAAGGGCCAACUGAGGGGGAAGGAGGGAUCGCACUAGUGCAGAGUGUAGCAGGAGGGGCAACACCAAGCUCCAAUCACAGCCAAAGCCACAGACACUGCCCUCCUUGGACAAGCCCUGCAAGGGAGUAGGGUUUACCCAAGUUUGCAAGGCUUUCUUCUAUUUUGAAGUGUCUCCUGGGUUUGCCUCUCAGCUAAAACAUAGGUAUGACCUGUGUUGUUUAGUACACAGUGCUUUUAGGAUGUGCAAUGGCCCAUUUCAGACCUGAGUGGCCCAGGGUGGUGAGGUAACUUGCCUGGGGAUCACCAUGCUGCUAAGGCCUUAAGGAAGAAAUCCAGAUCCAGGGACCAAGUAGUAGGUCCCUGUCCCCUCACCUCAGCUCUAGAUAGAGCAUGGGGCUUAGCGAUUUCUUUCAGGGUUUCUUUAAGUUCAGCAGUUAGUCUAGGAAAACUGAGAAUCUGGCCACUCAUGUAACAGGAGAAAGACUAAUUACUUGUAAUGUGCUCUUACAGAGUUCACUGGUCAACUAGGCACAUGGUUACACACAGUUGAUCUCACAGUGAGAGAACAGAAGGGCUUCCUGAAGGGGCCUUUGAUAUGAGCGUCAGGUCUGCCAGUGCUUGUUCUCAUGAAAGUAAAUACUUUAGAAAUGUUUUAGAAAAAGUAGCAGAAUAUAUUUUGGUAUACGAUUUUUGUGUACUCUUUUUACAAAAAAAUGUUUACACAUAUAAAGCAUUUUUCAUAAUCUUUAAAAGAAUUUUAAAACGUUCAGCUAUAGGGGCAUAUCUUGUUUAGCCAAUUCUUUUUUACAGUUAGUCUCCAUUUUGUGCUCUAAUAACAUUGCUAUUGCGAGCAUCCUUUAUGAAUGUGACCAAUUAUUUCCUUAGGAUAAAUUACUAAAAAUAAGAUCGAGUGAUCAGAGUCUUUCUCUCUCUCUCUCUUUCUUAAAGCUUUUGAUAACUACCUGUCAAACAGCCCCCAGAAAAGGCUGUGGCAGGCAAGGUGCUCAACAGAUGCAUCUUGGGAUCUAAAAUCUUCAUUAAUUCAAGCAAACAGUAUUUCACAGACAUUGCAAUUUACAUUUUCUUAGUUUUUUCUUUAUUUCUUGGUCACUGUGGUCCAUUUUAAAAUAAUCUGCAUUAGUCCUUUAAAAGAUUAGGGCGGCAAUACUUCCACUUAGCUCAGUAGCUAUGCACACACUCAAGGCAAUAGCAUCCUCCUUUCUGCCAUGACUGCUGCCUUUCUCUAUUCUUCCGGUUACUGAUCUUCUUAUCCUAUCUUGGGGCUUUAAACUUUUUUUUAAAGGUAGGCAUGCUUGUUAAUUUUCUCUAAAAAAAUGCUCUAUAUUUACACUAUCUUAAAGGUUUCCCAGUUUCACAUUUCUAAGAUAAUUUAUUACCUGUAUCUUUUACCAUUAGCUCCUUUCAUUAUUUCUAUAAUCCGUUCAGUUGAAAUGAAUUCUUAUGGAAGGUGUGAGGUUUGUAUCCUAACUUUCCCCCCAAAUAAUUAGCUGGCUAUCUCAGGACUGAUUCAUGACCUGCGUGUCCCUCCACUGACCACACACAUCUCAGAAGGCCGUUCUUGGCUUCAGCACUUGUCUGCCCCAGCCUCAGUGAUGCUGCACUUGCUUAAUAUCUGGGAGAGCAGGUCAUACUACAGAUUCCGGAUUCUUCUUUUAUUCAAACUUCUCGUUUUUUUUCCCCCAAAACACAGUAAUCUAAACCAACAUUCUAUAGAUUACAAAUCUAAUUAAAAAUAAGAUAAAAACUAACACCCCUCCACUCCAAUAGGGUUUCUCUGUGUAGCCCUGGCUGUUCUGGAACUCAGAGAUCCACCUGCCUCUGUCUCCUGGAAAGAAAGUGUUAGAAUUAAAGACAUGCACCACCACUGCCAGACAGAACCUGUCAUUUUAAAUUACUUUGAGAGAGAUUGUGCAUCUUUACAACAGGGGAUGAUUUCACCCAAAGCACAGUGAUUUUAUUCCUAAGGGUGAUGGGGGGGGGUAAGAGUCAUCUUUUCCCCCCAUACUGUUUCCUAUACACAUAUCCUUGGUAGUUUGUUGCUAUUUUGAACAGAAUCUUUU
ensembl:lncRNA